AUGCGUUGUUGGGUAGGGGAGCGUUCUGUAAGCCUGCGAAGGUGUGCUGUGAGGCAUGCUGGAGGUAUCAGAAGUGCGAAUGCUGACAUAAGUAACGAUAAAGCGGGUGAAAAGCCCGCUCGCCGGAAGACCAAGGGUUCCUGUCCAACGUUAAUCGGGGCAGGGUGAGUCGACCCCUAAGGCGAGGCCGAAAGGCGUAGUCGAUGGGAAACAGGUUAAUAUUCCUGUACUUGGUGUUACUGCGAAGGGGGGACGGAGAAGGCUAUGUUGGCCGGGCGACGGUUGUCCCGGUUUAAGCGUGUAGGCUGGUUUUCUAGGCAAAUCCGGAAAAUCAAGGCUGAGGCGUGAUGACGAGGCACUGCGGUGCUGAAGCAACAAAUGCCCUGCUUCCAGGAAAAGCCUCUAAGCAUCAGGUAACAUCAAAUCGUACCCCAAACCGACACAGGUGGUCAGGUAGAGAAUACCAAGGCGCUUGAGAGAACUCGGGUGAAGGAACUAGGCAAAAUGGUGCCGUAACUUCGGGAGAAGGCACGCUGAUAUGUAGGUGAAGUCCCUCGCGGAUGGAGCUGAAAUCAGUCGAAGAUACCAGCUGGCUGCAACUGUUUAUUAAAAACACAGCACUGUGCAAACACGAAAGUGGACGUAUACGGUGUGACGCCUGCCCGGUGCCGGAAGGUUAAUUGAUGGGGUUAGCGCAAGCGAAGCUCUUGAUCGAAGCCCCGGUAAACGGCGGCCGUAACUAUAACGGUCCUAAGGUAGCGAAAUUCCUUGUCGGGUAAGUUCCGACCUGCACGAAUGGCGUAAUGAUGGCCAGGCUGUCUCCACCCGAGACUCAGUGAAAUUGAACUCGCUGUGAAGAUGCAGUGUACCCGCGGCAAGACGGAAAGACCCCGUGAACCUUUACUAUAGCUUGACACUGAACAUUGAGCCUUGAUGUGUAGGAUAGGUGGGAGGCUUUGAAGUGUGGACGCCAGUCUGCAUGGAGCCGACCUUGAAAUACCACCCUUUAAUGUUUGAUGUUCUAACGUUGACCCGUAAUCCGGGUUGCGGACAGUGUCUGGUGGGUAGUUUGACUGGGGCGGUCUCCUCCUAAAGAGUAACGGAGGAGCACGAAGGUUGGCUAAUCCUGGUCGGACAUCAGGAGGUUAGUGCAAUGGCAUAAGCCAGCUUGACUGCGAGCGUGACGGCGCGAGCAGGUGCGAAAGCAGGUCAUAGUGAUCCGGUGGUUCUGAAUGGAAGGGCCAUCGCUCAACGGAUAAAAGGUACUCCGGGGAUAACAGGCUGAUACCGCCCAAGAGUUCAUAUCGACGGCGGUGUUUGGCACCUCGAUGUCGGCUCAUCACAUCCUGGGGCUGAAGUAGGUCCCAAGGGUAUGGCUGUUCGCCAUUUAAAGUGGUACGCGAGCUGGGUUUAGAACGUCGUGAGACAGUUCGGUCCCUAUCUGCCGUGGGCGCUGGAGAACUGAGGGGGGCUGCUCCUAGUACGAGAGGACCGGAGUGGACGCAUCACUGGUGUUCGGGUUGUCAUGCCAAUGGCACUGCCCGGUAGCUAAAUGCGGAAGAGAUAAGUGCUGAAAGCAUCUAAGCACGAAACUUGCCCCGAGAUGAGUUCUCCCUGACUCCUUGAGAGUCCUGAAGGAACGUUGAAGACGACGACGUUGAUAGGCCGGGUGUGUAAGCGCAGCGAUGCGU
rnacentral:rRNA from 1 species